UCUCCGUUGGUGAACCAGCGGAGGGAUCAUUACAGGACUCGCAAGACUCCCGUAACCACUGUGAACCUACCUAUACUCGUUGCCUCGGCGGGUGCUCCGGCUCGCUCCGGAGCGCUACGCCCGCCGGCGGCACACAACUCUUGUCUCUUGCGUUGGCAUCUCCGAGCAAACAAAAACGAGUCAAAACUUUUAACAACGGAUCUCUUGGUUCUGGCAUCGAUGAAGAACGCAGC
rnacentral:misc_RNA from 1 species